rnacentral:misc_RNA from 1 species
CCGAGUUUACAACUCCCAAACCCAAUGUGAACCGUACCAAACUGUUGCCUCGGCGGGGAUCACUGCCCCGGGUGCGUCGCAGCCCCGGAACCAAGGCGCCCGCCGGAGGGACCAACCAAACUCUUUCUGUAUACCCCUCGCGGACGUUUUUUUCUUAAUCUGAGCUCUCGGAGCAUAGUAGAGUUUCGAAAAUGAAUCA